rnacentral:rRNA from 1 species
GACGAACGCUGGCGGCGUGCUUAACACAUGCAAGUCGAACGGGCCUGUCUUCUUUUUUGGGGGUGGGUUGAGUGGCGAACGGGUGAGUAUCACGUGAGUAACCUGCCCUUCGGUCCUGGAUAACCGCUUGAAAGGGCGGCUAAUACGGGGUGGUCCGGUUGGUCCGCAUGGGCUGGUCGGGAUAGAUUCACUGUUUUUGGUGUUUCGGCGGGGGAUGGGCUCGCGGCCUAUCAGCUUGUUGGUGGGGUGAUGGCCUACCAAGGCGGUGACGGGUAGCCGGCGUGAGAGGGUGGGCGGCCCCACUGGGACUGAGAUACGGCCCAGAGUCCUGCGGGAGGCAGCAGUGGGGGGUAUUGCACAAUGGGCGGAAGCCUGAUGCAGCGACGUCGCGUGAGGGAUGGAGGCCUUCGGGUUGUGAACCUCUGUUUCCGGUGGUGAAGGCCCUGUCCGUGUGGUGGGGUUGACGGUAGCCGGGGAUGAAGCGCCGGCUAACUACGU